CUCUUGUUUGUUGCUGCUUUUUAAUUAUAGCUUGAUGAAUUUAUUCUAAGAUGUAUCAUGUUUUUCAUUAUUAUUGUAGUGUAUGAGGUAAGAUAAAGAAGAAAAAUAUAUCAAGGUUAGACGAGGCUAUCAAUAAUCAAGUGGAUAGUAUCCCAAUUGAGACUCACUUGAUCAAAUACUUAGAGAUUUCUCCACAGAGAUGAUGUCAAGGAGGAUUGCAUGGACAUCUGUAGCUGUAGCGGGUUCUGGUUAUUUCCAAGAAUUCAUAGAACUAGUGGUCUCUGUGCAUUGCAGGAUGAAUUAAUCUUCAUGACGGCUGCCAGUGGUUGCUAAGGAAUUUUGUUGCUUCUUAGACUGUAAACUGUAUAGAUUUUUUUUGCUUUGUUUUUUUUUUCGUUAGAAACCAAGCUUUAUUAAGUCUGUCUAGCAUCAAUUCUUGGUUUUGGUUUGUUACGACUUUUUAUGCUUGCACUUGCCUAUCCAUAGUAUGUAAAACUGCCGUUCCAUAGAAA